rnacentral:pre_miRNA from 1 species
CCACUACUCCCUCCGUUCGGAAUUACUCGUCCAAAAAAUGAAUGUAUCUAGAUGUAUUUUAGUUGUAGAUACAUCCAUUUUUGUGACAAGUAAUUCCGAACAGAGGGAAUAGUAC